CUUACUUUCACAUAUUUUCUCAACAUAAGACUGGGCUGAGUAUUUCAAGAAAAAAGUAAAUCCCCAAGAGAUGGCCUAUUACAGACUCAUGCUGACAAUGAAAUUCACUUAUGGUUCCCUAGGUUGUAUCUAUUGUUUCCUAAUGAAUAAAUACAAUGUGUUUUACUGUUCUUGUGACAGGGUUGUCAGGGGUGAUGAAAAGGACUUUAUUCAAAUAGCUUCUCAAUAAAUGGAAGGAGAUUCCCCUGAAGGCCUUUAAGGCGGGCCUGGAAACACAGCGCUAUUUGGCCAGGUAGGCAGUUGUGAUGCAUCUGCUCACUGACCCCAGAAAGCUAUUAAAAAAGGAGCAAAGGAGACCAAAACCCCAAGCUUCCCUUUGUAAACUCUGUUUAUGUAGGAGGAGAAAGUCUGUGCUAGAUUGAUUCCUGCUUGCGAUGAGGAGUGGAAGAUCCAAGGAGUAGCUGAAGUUGAGAGACCCCUUGUGGACAGUGGGCAGUGAGAAGAGGGCUUCCGAGUUGCCGUAACUUACAGAGGGUUGUCAGGUGUCUUUUUAUAUCAUUUAUUACACGUCAGUGUUUGAUGUUCAGUGUUCUAUGUUCUAUUUCUUUCCUGAUUUUAGGAACUCAGAGACACGGAGCAGUAACCAAAUGUCACACUCUGAGUGGGAGUAAAGCUGUCAUAUGGCACCUCUGACUCCCAGACAGGCUGCUGGUGAAAGAUUACGGACUCAUCCUUCAAUGAGUUCUAUAGCUUGGAGGAAACGGAGGAAAUGCCAGAUGGUUAGAGUUUAUGCACAGGAUACAUACCCUUGCCUUCACUGAAUUUUGCCUCAAGAGUCAUAGUAACCAGCUGGGGAUUUCAGCCAAGAAGCUAGAAGAGUAGAGGGAAAAUUAUUUUUCCUCCCCUACACAAUUAAAAUCUAAAAGGCACAGUGCUCACAGGAGAAGAGAUGAAGCACGAGCAUCAAAGGCACAGGCCCUGGGAAGCACAGUUAUCACAUGUUCACAUACAUAUUUUUUAAAUUUGCAAAAGGAAAAUACUGUAAGCAAAACCGGUUACUAUCACUGCCUCCUCAACUCCAACUUCUCCUAUAUCACAUUCCUGUCAUGUCAAGUGGCCUUAGACCAGCAAUUUUAGAGUCCAGCUGAGGGACAGUUGCAUGAGAGAUAUUUGUAGUUUCCAUUUAGUGGAUAUAAUUCUGGGCCUACAGUCAUAUCUGUGUGUAGAUGUGUUUUGAUUAGUCAUCUUGGUGUAGAAAUGGCUUCUGGGACUGUUCUCACCCUUGACCUGGCACUCACCUGGCAAACUGACAUGAAGGUGUGGGGCCAAAGGUCAUGCUGCAUAGUGAACAUAUUCCUAAAUGCUUAGCACUGGAAGUAAGUGAAUAAUAUAGUAGAGAUGAGGUUUGAAGCUCAGAUAACCAGAACUUACUUUUUGAAAAUUUAUAGCUCAUAUGUGAAAAAAACUUGAUCGAAAUAUUUCCAAAUUUGGAAACAGUCCUGAAAGUUUUCUUGGUGUUACAAAAUUUAUGCUGUGAAGCUUGAGAAAUUUUUUAUGCAAAGAAUAAUGAAAUUAUAUUUCAAUGAACAAUGUGACAGAAAACAUGACCACUUUUUCAGAGGGGAGAAGUUGGAAGCAGCUAGAAAGGGGUUAGAGUCAGGGGCUGUGAGCAGGGAAAACAGCAAGUUGAGAAGUUGUACUCACACCUUUUGCAGCAGGCAGGGCUGUAAUUUUAAAGUGAAAGGUUUCCAUGGCCACUGCUGGGCAAUUUGCAUUAGCAUUGUAUAUUGCUGGCAUUUUAAGUUAAAAUUACUGCCUUGGUUCAACUCGCACUGUACUUACUAAAAGAUUCUGCUACCUUACCAUUGAGAGCUACUAGUCCCCCAAAAUUGGCUUAGAUAUUUUGGUAGAACAAUUUUUACCUUUUCUUCUUCUUUUUCUUAAAUUUUCCACCACUUCUGCCUCAUGUAUGAGUUUUUCAGUCUUUCUCAGAAAGAAUACUCCAGCAGUGGGGAUAGUGUUCAUUUUCAAAAGGGUUUACGGUGUUCAAUGACAUAGAAGGUCACUUGCCAUGUUUAUGGCUGUCCCUGGGAACUCCCAUAAGGUCGGAGAAAUUGUAUCUACCUAUCAAGAGUCUUAUAAUUUCUAUAAAUAAAAUUAUGUAUCCAUCUUUAUGUAUUACUGCAUUACCCCAGAUAUGGCUGGCUGAAUACCUAGCCAAAUUGUUAGGAUACGUUUGGGAUGGCAUGCUUUAAAAUAUAAGUCAUGUGGGCAUAUAUAUAUUCUUUUCAGAGUACCAGCAUUCCUAUACAGUAGUAUGAAAUCUAUACACCUGUGUGUGUGUGUGUCUGUGUGUGUGUAUUUAGAGAACAGUGUGACACAUCAUUUUGAAAAGUCAAUGAGGUGAACUGAGAAAUAUACAUUCAACUUUUUUCCCCCCAAAUGAAGGACUACAUGUGUUUAUUAAUUUUCUAGUUGGUUGCUUUUAUUUUUUCCUGUGGAUAGAGAUAAGAAUAUAUAUCUAACAAAAGUGCAUCAUGAACUCAAAAAACCUUAGAUCCCUAUCAGCAAAAAUAUUUUUUAAGAAGAUACAUUUGAAAGAAUCUGAUAUUGGGGUGGAGAUAUGCGCUAUCAAGGGCAAAAGAGAUAGAGCAAAUUUUUGCAACCCAGAGAGAGAGGCUGUCAUUGUCCUUAGGAGAUAAAACCGAAGCCAAACAAGUGGGCUCUGGGACUGUGGACUGGAAGUGGUAUUUUCUAGCUUGUUUGGGUGAACGAUAGUCCAGAAAGAGCAAUGUCUGGUUAAUAAUAAGAAGAGACUCCUCAGUAGCAGUUUGCCAAACACCAGAACCAAAGAUGAUUUCCAACAUGAUUUAAUCCCUAUUUUGCUAAGAAAACAGUUAAGAAGGGUCACUGUAGCAAAUUCGCCAUUAAUUUAAACUCUGAUUUGGAAAAGGGAAGUGAAGUUACAAGCUGGACCAAUGGCAGGUCAGGUUUGAAUCAAUUAUUGCGCUCCCAGGAGAAAGGUUUUAUCUUUUAAAAUCCAAAUGUUAGAAAAAUGGCAUUCAAAUCUACACCAGUGUACGUUAAUAGAUUGUUAAAGAAAGAGAGUGAAUAUAUACCUCUGAAUUGUCACUAAUUUCCUCAAAGUAGGAAUUUAUAUUUUAAAUUUUUAAAAUUUUCUUCUUUCCUCCUCCUUUCUUCCUUUCUUUGUCUCUCUGACUCUCUGUUUAUGGAAAAUCACUGAUGGAGUUCAGGGCAGGCUACCCCAGAAUGUACCACUUUGGCAUGUGGAUUGUUUCAAGCUGAAGACAAUCAAGGCUCAACAGACUCAAGAACAGCUUUUACUUGUCUCUUAACUGCCUAAAAUAAUUUAGAUAAGGAGCCUGUACCAGGAAGAGAGCCAUUAGCGGAGAUAACUUCUUAUAUCAGAAAGACUUAUGCGCAUGACAUGGCAACCGUUUGUUUACCAAAUAUUUGCUCUUCCCAUCUUCCUGUGAAUCGUAUUCCUUCCCUUUGAAGCCUCAGACCCCUCUUCCCUUCUCCUUAACUCAGAAUGACUUAUAGGUUUCAAUUAUCUGACUGUCUGAGAGCCUGUCACAUCUUUGUGGGGCGCUUGUAUGUACAGAAUUAAAUUUGUUUUUCUCCUGUCAAUCUGUCUGAUGUCAAUUUAAUUACGAGGCAAGCCAAAGAACCUAGAAAGAAAGAUGGAAAAAGUUUUCCUCCUGUAUAUCACCAAAAAAAGAAGAAAAGCAGCUGCCUUCUCUCUCAUCAUCCAGUAGAGAACCAGGCCACUUCUCUUCACCACUGUCCUGAUUCUACGAGAAAUUCUCUGGUAUGGAGAAAACCAUCUGGGAAAACCUACUCACCACAGUAAAGGAAUGGAGGGCUCUCUUUGUAAUCUUGUAAUUCCAUUCACUAGAGAGUGAUGUUUUUAUGUUUGUGAAAUAGAUAGUGGUAUAUGUGUUUUUACUUCUAGAAAGUGAAAAAUAAAAUGAGUCAGCCUCUUAAAUGUCUCUCUUAUUAAUCCCUAUAUUUUUCUAUAAUCCAAAUAUUCAGAAAGACAUUUUCUGGUUUUACCCUGGAAAGUCCAGCAACCUGAAUGCAAAAUCUAUUAUAUGUGAAUCUCUGGCUCAAAAGUCUUCAUUGGUGUCCUGCUGUCUCCUAGAUUAAAUGUAAACUACUUAUCAUAGAAGCCAGAUGUGAAAACUGCACACAGAUUCAGAAAUCCACUAAUUCAGAAUGAAUGGGAUAAGGACAGAGAGAAACAAAUUUAAGAAGAUUCUAUCCUGAGUGUUCACCAGAAGUCAUUUACCUGGAUGUCCCCAAUUCCGCCAGACUGUUUGGCUCAUCUACUUUUUCAUUUCUUAAUACAAUUAUCUUCAAGGCUUUUUUGUUUAUAUGCUGGGGCACGGAACAAUGUUUCUAACAUAUCAGGAAAUUUUGGAGGGGUGUAUAUUUUCCUCUAAUUUCUCACUUCUGAUACAGUCUUGUUACAUGAUACUUGCUUUGAGUUUGGCUUCCUUUUUUUUUUAAACUGUUUUUGGAGAGGGUUUUAAUUUUUUUUUUUAAAGAUUGGCACCUGAGCUAACAACUGUUGCCAAUCUUCUUUUUUAUGUUUUUAUUCUUCUCCCCAAAGCCCCCCAGUACAUAGUUGUAUAUUCUGGCUGUAAGUGGCUCUGGCUGUGCUAUGCGGGAUGCUGCCUCAGCAUGGCUUGAUGAGCGGUGCCAUGUCCGUGCCCAGGAUCCGAACCGGCGAAACCCUGGGCUGCCGAAGCAGAGUGCGUGAACUUAACCACUUGGCCACGGGGCCGGCCCCUGAGUUUGGCUUCUUAAGCAUCUAUCUCUUGUCCAUUCGAAGUUUGUGUGCUAGGCAGAAGGUUAUAUGAAAAGUUUGAGUCAAUGAAAGAGGAAAUUAUUAUAUAUCAUAGCCUCCACCCAAACAAAAUUUAGUUUUAACAAUCCUUAUUUCUUAUGAGUCCCUCAGCCUUCUCUCCCUGUAGAGACACCGCGUCCAGUCCUGUAACUCGACCCCGUUCUCUGCUUCCCUUGACUCUUGAGCCUUUUCUGACUCAAAUCCAUAUCCGUGUCCAUUAAAGCAGGGUGACUACCUCUCUGUGCUGCUUAAGCUUUUGUCAAGACCAUUGCCUGGACAUAUCAUCUAAGGAAACUUUCAUUAGCUACCUGCUUCCAACUGAAUCCUUGAAAGUUAUGAUAGUACCAGAAAUUUCAAAUUCAGCCAAUGCUGUCCAUGUAUUUUUAAAUACAUCUUAGUCAAUUGGAAAGAAAAAU
rnacentral:lncRNA from 1 species